GGGCCCGCACAAGCGGCGGAGCAUGCGGAUUAAUUCGAUGCGACGCGAAGAACCUUACCUGGGUUUGACAUCACUCAUUUAAGCCGUAGAGAUGCGGUGUCCUUCGGGGUGGGUGACAGGUGGUGCAUGGCUGUCGUCAGCUCGUGUCGUGAGAUGUUGGGUUAAGUCCCGCAACGAGCGCAACCCUCGUUCCAUGUUGCCAGCGGGUGAUGCCGGGGACUCAUGGGAGACUGCCGGGGUCAACUCGGAGGAAGGUGGGGAUGACGUCAAGUCAUCAUGCCCCUUAUGUCCAGGGCUUCACGCAUGCUACAAUGGCCGGUACAAUGGGCUGCGAUACUGUGAGGUGGAGCGAAUCCCAAAAAGCCGGUCUCAGUUCGGAUCGGGGUCUGCAACUCGACCCCGUGAAGUCGGAGUCGCUAGUAAUCGCAGAUCAGCAACGCUGCGGUGAAUACGUUCCCGGGCCUU
rnacentral:rRNA from 1 species